CUUCCGCCGGCGACCGGCGCACGGGUGAGUAACACGUAUGCAACCUGCCCCUGUCAGGGGGACAACCCGCUGAAAGGCGGGCUAAACCCGCGUACAUGCCACCGGGGCAUCCCGGAGGCAGGAAAGGCUUCGGCCGGACAGGGAUGGGCAUGCGGCGCAUUAGGCAGUAGGCGGGGUAACGGCCCACCUAACCGACGAUGCGUAGGGGUUCUGAGAGGAAGGUCCCCCACAUUGGAACUGAGACACGGUCCAAACUCCUACGGAAGGCAGCAG
rnacentral:rRNA from 1 species